GACGAACGCUGGCGGCGCGCCUAAAACAUGCAAGUCGAACGAGAAGCCCGGGCUUGCCCGGGUGGACAGUGGCGAACGGGUGAGUAACACGUGAGGAACCUGCCCCGAAGACCGGGACAACACCGGGAAACCGGUGCUAAUACCGGAUGCCUUCACCGGAUCGCAUGGCCUGGUGAAGAAAUGGAUUCCGCUUCGGGAUGGCCUCGCGGCCUAUCAGCUUGUUGGUGAGGUAAUGGCCCACCAAGGCGACGACGGGUAGCUGGUCUGAGAGGAUGUCCAGCCACACUGGGACUGAGACACGGCCCAGACUCCUACGGGAGGCAGCAGUUAGGAAUCUUGCGCAAUGGGCGAAAGCCUGACGCAGCGACGCCGCGUGCGGGAUGAAGGCCUUCGGGUUGUAAACCGCUUUCAGCAGGGACGAAAUUGACGGUACCUGCAGAAGAAGCCCCGGCCAACUACGUGCCAGCAGCCGCAGUAACAC
rnacentral:rRNA from 1 species